rnacentral:tRNA from 1 species
GGCUGUGGCUCAGUGGUAGAGUGCUUGCCUAGCAGUAUGAGGCCCUGGGUUUGAUCCUCAGCACCA